CCCGCCCGCCACCUGCCACCACCGCCUCCUCAGCUCGAAACGAAGCUCUCUGUCUGCCGAAGACCUGCAGCCGACUUUUGGAGACUGGCACGGAACAUGCACCUCUCAUUUUUGCAUCCUUGAUUUUUUUUCUCAAUUAACUGGAAGAUACAGUUUGGUGAAAUGGGAACUAAUCACAAACUGAUAUGUUGAAACUAAUCAGAAAUCUGGUAAGUUGAAACUUAUUAGAAUUAGAGGUGAAGGGCAAAACUUGUGAAUUCAUCUUGGGUCAUACUGUUGGAGGUGCCCAUUGCACACGCAGCUGGAUAUAGAAGCCUGGAGUCUGGAUCCAAGCAGAUGAAAAUAGAAUUUUGGGAACCCGCAAAGGUGGAGCUACAAGGAGCUACAAGGCUCCUUUCAAAUUAGACAGAGCUGGAGGCUUGAUCGCUCUGGGGUGCUAGGUGUACAUCCUGAGGUAUGAUCAGGAACGUCUGGGGGCCAUUGACGUGCUUUGUGUCCCAGGGACUGAUCAAUGGAACAAGCCUUGUUAAUAAGAUUGGAGCCAAGGGUGGGGGUUGAGAGUGUAUCAGCAGACUUGAUUUCCCUAAAGCCCCAAAUCCGGUAUUCAGCUUGACCCACCCUUUUCUCUGUCAAUAAAAAGUCCAGGAUCUUGCUCUUUAGCAGCGUCCUGCAUCCUCAGCCUGCUCCACAACUCCUGUUUCUUUUCUUUAUCAUUGCGGUGUUGCUGAUG